rnacentral:rRNA from 4 species
UGACCUGCGGAGGGAUCAUUA